ACCUGGCAGAGCGCCCAGCGUCACCUAGGCAAAGUUGGUUCUGAGUGAUGGCCCAGACUACUGCACAAUACCCAGGCCCUUUCAUAGGCUCUGGCACAUAUCAGACUGGGUUUAAGCCCCCACCAUGUGCCCAUCAUCCUUUUGCCUCCCCCAGGGACUUGGCACUAAACCGAGUGCUAGGGCUGAAUGAGUUCCUGGCUUAUUACGAGAUAAAGUUACAGCUCUGGCUACACACCACUGAGACUAAGAACUCAGGUUGUAGCCAGCGGCACUUGUAAGACUGUAGCCUCUCUCUAGAGGUCCCAAUUCCUUGUCGACAAGGAAUCCAGCAAAGAUGCUUCAAUCUAGAAGGUCAAGAUUCUAUUGGUCCCCCUGCUUUCAGUCUUUAGGGCAGAAAAAGCUUUCAGGUUAGCUGGCCCAGCUCUGACCGUGUUAGAAAGUCAGCUAUACUUUGAACCCUGAGCAGUUAACAAGCAACCUUUCAUCCAGACCUUAAGAUGUGGCAUUUGAAGCAACUGUUCAGGACAAGAACAAACUCAUACAAUCCAGAUAGUCUGCCUGGGUAGGGGAGGGAGCUACACAAGCAUAAGGUACCAAGUUGGGUUCAGAGAGGUGCCAGGCUACAGGAAGGUCAUAACAUGGAACAGGAGUUUCAUGCUACAGGGAUGAAGGUGCCAAGACGCUUGUGGCACAGAACCCCAUGAGCCCUGCACUAACUCUGUGAGGCAGUCUAUGGGGCAGCAGCUAGAGUGUACUGAGCACACACCAUGAUGGGUACUGGUCUACAGUCUCCUAUCGCCACAAGAUCUGUCUAAGCCAGUUUCCCAGAGAUUGGUAACUUGCCCAGGUUAUCAGAGCUAGUAAGUGACACAGCCAGGGAAAGAACCCAGGUGAGCGGCAGCCUGUAUCCUGUCACACCACAUGACUAUGAAGGUCUCUCCACGAGACCAAGGCUCUCGUCAAGUGGCUCCGCAGACAAGACCUGAAAGCAGACAGAUUCCAGACCCCAACACUCCCACCUCCAAGGUCAACAAUUUCGACGGAAGCUUUCAGUUGUCUUCAGAGGAGCCGCUUUAGAAAUUGAUGGUUAAGCCCUCACCAAGUUUGACCCAAAACUGGUUCAGCUGGACGAACUCCACAUCAACUGGUCAUGCCCAGUUAUCAGGUGAGGUCAGCACCAACCACUCGUUUCCCACUUCAGCAGAUUGAACUGCAUCUAGGCCCCAGGUUCUCCCACUUUUCAGGCCAGCCCAUGUGGUCAGUUGCCUGCUGCCUCACCUAGAGUUCUUCUGAACACUUAAGACUUGCCUUGCUUCUCUAGAGCCUUCUGCCAGUUGGAGUUUAAUACUGAGCCCUUCCACACAGUCACCACAGUUGUUACAGGCUCUAUGAGCUACUCUUCAGGUGAGCGAGGACCUACAUCUAGACCUAUGCCAGCAGGGAGCCCCCAGGAGCCCUUUACCUGUGAUUCUUUUUAGAGAAACUCUAGUCAGUCCAGUUUCUACUUGAGCACUCCCCUGGAGUAGAUCCUCGCCCUCCCCAGGAGGAUUUGAACAGCACAGACUAUAGGAGAAAACCAUCUCCAGGGACUGAUGGCUUAACUAUGACCUGCCGUCCCAGUUCAACUCAUAUUGAUAUUCUUUUCAGCUGGGGAAAUGAAUCCCCAAACAUUUUAGUUUUUGCCAGAUUUGAGUUCACAUCUGUGCUGGAUUUGCCAAUAGCAAGUCUACUCUGUAGUACCUUAUUGCCAGAGGAAAACUUUAGGAUGCUUAAGAGAAGGAAAACAAGUGGGAGUGCCUCACCUCUGAGACCUGAGCACAGAAGCCAGGCCACAGGUUGUUUGAAAACAGGUUUGAGCAGGAAAGCGUCAUCACCCUAUCACAGGAAGGGCUAAUGCUGAGUCUCUGCUUGCUGGAAGUUUGAGUUUUUGGCUUUGGGGAGAAAAGUCACCCACUUCAGUGCAUAUACUCCAACUCAGGGUCCCAUGCUCUUCAUGUGAGCUUCGAGUUCAUACCUGUGGAGCUAGGUAUCCCCUCUGCCUGUUGAUAUAGGCCGUUAGUCCCCGGAAGAACCCACUCCCAGAAAGAUCUUCCCUGGGAGAAAAGACAGCUUCCCAAAGAAACUGGAGCUCUGUUUUAUGUACCAGGAUUUUUUUUUUUUUUUUUAAGGCUUCAAGUUGGUAAAAGAAAACCCCUGAAGAAAGAUUUUUACACAGAGGUUGAUGUGGGGCCUUGAGCCAAGGACUAUCAGACAGUCUCUCAAGAAAAUUCUCUCCGAAAGCCUCUAGAAGGAAUCACAGCUUUACCAACACCUUGAUUUUAGCUUUGUAAAGACCCUUUUUUCACACUUCUGACCUCCAGAACGUUAAUAAAUCGGUACUGUUUUCAGUCACACACAAAGAGGCUUUUCAGAUGUAAGAAAGCAGGCAGAGAAGGAAAAAAAAAAAAAACAAAAACACAAAAAACCCUGGGAGAAAGAGGCAGGGCUUGUGUUCUUAUGACCCCAGGACUACCUGUGAGAAAACAGAAGAGAAAAUCCACACAGAAGAGCACUAACAGAGACUAGUGUGUGGAGAGAGAGAGCCCUACAUCCCUAUUCCCAGAGUUUUCUCUUCUGAAACAAAAGGAAGCUUUAUACCCUACCCUCUAGGCUUAAUCUGCUUUCCCCACUCCAACCCUGAGAAACCUUCGGCAGCCACAACCACCCCAACCAAAGAACACUGAGGCACAGACUGCGGAUUUUAUAGGCUAUAGAGACUAGUCCCACCACCCCCCCACCCCAAAGCACUCUGGGUGGGCAGCGGUUCCUCUGUUUCUCAUUGGCUCCCUCUCUCUCAAUCAGCAGAUUGUCUCCACCCUCCUCUGCUCAUUUCCUGUCUGUAAGUCACCAACAGCAGUGUAAGCAAGGGGAGGUUUUAACAGUCUGCUCUCAACCCUUGCCUAAAAAUGUGACUUCUCAUGUUUUUAGGCAAGAUUCCAGAAGCAAUCUUGAUAGGAAAAAGAGACAGCCUCUUCACAGACAGAAUAUAUCAUUCUUUUAUCUAUGUUCACCCAAUCAGGGCUCUUUCCUGGAAAUGAUGUUUGAGAAGAUCUUGAUGAGAGCCUUGGAGUCUGUGGUUUCCCAGAGGCACAAGAUUUGUGCCUUUAAGUAAGCCGGCAUCCUACUAAAAGGUGGUAUUGAAAAAUUCCAAGAAAUGGCUUACUGUCUACCUGUUACGGUUAUCCCCGUAUUCCCAAUUCCUCUUUUGGAUUUGAGUUUCUCCAGCAGCUACCUCAAAUAAGCGUUCUUACUUGAAAAGAAAAGGAAAAGAAAGAAAAAUGCAGUGUUUAGGAGGAGGUGGCCGCGUUCUGAUCUUCACCACCUCUCUGCACUUAGGGAAUGAACCACAGGUGGGAAGUAGCUUUCAUAAGUCAAUUCACCUGAGUCAGUUUGAGUUUGGCCGCGUUCCCCUUCUGGUCCUGAGGUCACAGGAAAAAGGAGGAGCCUUUUGAUGAGAGGAACUGGGGUGUUUGAGGUGAUGAAAGUUUGAGGGCAGCCAGAAGAUAGUGGGAACACACAAAACUUUUGCCAAGAAGGCAGCUGUCUGUGCACCAUGCCUGUGGCCCUUCAUUUUUCUGACUUCUGUCUUCACUCCUGCUGUUCCUCGGUGAUGUUCACGCUGCUGGUAAUGGGAAGAAUAUGACAAGGUCAAAGACCUUGUAUCCGACAGCUCAGUCAUCACCAGGAAGCUCUUUACAAAUGCAAAUUCUUGGGCUCUGCCUCAGAACCAGAAACUUGUUUUAACAAGCCAUCCAGGAGACGAUGGACAUUGGGUUUCCUGUGGUGCAUAAUUAUAGAUGCACUGGAAGAAGAAUUCAGGUCAACAAUUACUUUAAUGAGAUGUCUGAAGAGCAUGGCCCAGCAAGGCGGAAGGCAGAGGAGGAGCUGGGAGAGGACGUAGGGUGGGGGAGAGACAAGAGAAACUGGAGGAAGGCAGGGAAAUGGGCAGGAUGAGGGGCAAAGAUAGGAAGGUUUCUGCAAGGAGAGCAGAAGAGGGAGAGGAAGAACUCGGAGCAAGAGAGCCGGAGGAGCAAGCAGAGGGCAGAGGAGCAGACUUCACUGUGUCUGGAACAUUUUUGCUGCUGCUGCUGCUGCUAAGGUGCUUCAGCCAUGUCCUACUCUGUGCGACCCCAUAGAUGGCAGCCCACCAGACUCCUCUGUCCCUGGGAUUCUCCAGGCAAGAAUACUGGAGUGGGUUGCCAUUGCCCUCUCCCAGGCACGCAUGAUAAGUCGCUUCAGUCAUGUCCAACUCUGUGCGACCCUAUGGACAACAGACCACCAGGCUCUGCCAUCCACAGGAUUCUCCAGACAAGAAUACUGGAGUAGGUUGCCAUUUCCUUCUCCAUGGGACAUUUUUAAAGACGGAGAAAACAUUCAGAAAGCAAGAGAGUGGCGCUGGGUGCCCAUGGAGAGGUCUGCAGUCUUGGAUCCAGAUGCUCCUCUCACGGAUGCAUCUGGAGACAGUGGGGAGGCAUUGACAAUGGGCUUUGGCAUCAAACAGAUUUGGGGCUAAUCCCUGAUCCUGCCCUGUUUGACCUGUGUGACUUUUGGCAAGUCACUAAACUUCUCUGAGUCUGCUCCCAUCUGUAAAAUGAGGGUUAACUAUAUAAGGUGCAUGCCUUGGUCUGUUCAGGUUAUUAUAACAAAUUACCAUAGGCUAGGUAGCUUGGAAACAAUAGAAAUUUCUCACAAUUCUGGAGGCUGGAAAAUCCAAGAUCGAGGCAGAUUUGGUGUCUGGUGAGAGCCUGGUUUUUGGUUUAUGGCCAACUGUCUUUUCAUUAUGUCCACACAUGGUGGAUGGAGUGAAGGGGCCUUUUCGAAAAGGGCCCUGAUCCCACUCAUGAGGCUCCACCCUCAUGAACUAAUCAUCUCCCAAGGGCCCCAUAUCCAAACACUAUCUUACUGGAGAUUAGGCUUCAACUGAUAUAUUUUGGUGGGCCACAAACAUUCAGGCCACAACAGUGCAUAACACUCCUAGAAUGAACUGUAUCUGACAUACAGCAAGUCCCAAUAAAUUGUUAGAAUGGGGAAUCCGAGAGGUUAGUUUUGCCCAAGGGCUCAUGGCUAGUCAGUAGCUGAAUUGAAAUUUAAACCCUGAUUUGUCUGAUCUCCAAUGCCACGGAGGAAAAUGUACAAAACUGCUCUUUUUUGGGAAAUGCAAGGUCUGUUCUCCAGAGAGUCAGCCUCAAUCCAUGAAGACAGUCCUUAUCAGCUGGUGCCAGGGGUUCAAGGGAAAAUGAAACAGUUGCCCAUAAACCAAAAAACAGGCUCAAUCUAACCAUAGUAGGACUUUAGACAUAGGUAUGAAGGUCAGGCAGAGAAGGCAAUGGGUUUCCAGUACUCUUGCCUGGAGAAUUCCAUGGGUGGAGGAGUCUGGUAGGCUGCAGUCCAUGGGGUCGCUAAGAGUUGGACACAACUGAGCAACUUCACUUUCACUUUUCACUUUCAUGCAUUGGAGAAGGAAAUGGCACUCCAGUGUUCUUGCCUGGAGAAUUCCAGGGACGGGGGAGCCUGGUGGGCUGCCGUCUAUGGGGUUGCACAGAGUCGGACACAACUGAAGCAACUUAGCAGCAGCAGCAGCAUGAAGGUCAGGAAGAUUCCCUGGAUAAGGAAAUGGCAACCCAUUCCAGUAUUCCUGCCUGGAAGAUUCCAUGGACGGAAGAGCCUAGUGGGCUACAGUCCAUGGGGUAGCAAAGAGUUGGACACAACUGAGCAUACACACACACACACCCCCACACACACAUAUACACACAUGAGGUCCCACUUCCACAAGCUGGUUUUUACAGAACAUGCCCUUGUUCACGCUUGCAGGAUAUAACAGGGCAUUCAUUCUUGAGUUCAUUCCAGGGCUUACUGAGUGCCCAUACUAGGCCCAGUACUAUUAACAUUUCAGGCUCCCAAGAGCAUAUGCCUAGUGGGAUAACUAUGACCAUCUUGGUAGUGCACUGCUCAAAUCUCCCUUCAAGUUCUAGAAUAUACUAUCUGGAAUCCAUGAGAAGGUUCACAUUGAGGCCACAAUCUUCCCCAGGCUGCUGUCAGCAAAGGCAGAGCAUGGGGUGGGGUGGAGGUGGGGGGUGUGUGCUAGAGCUGAGUCAGCCUGCCAGCGUGGAACUUCUUUAACAGAGGGGCGCUCAGACUCCAAAAGCCUGGUUGAGGCUUCCUCAGAGCUGCACUCCGGUCUGAGGCUCUUUCUGCCCCACCUUCUUCCUUCCCUCGCUCCUUUCUCAAUAGGCAGAUCAGCAUCCCAGUCUGAAGGCUCUCCGUGUCUCCUCUUGAUCCCCCUUCCCUCACCCCCUAAUCCUUCACAAGAGUUUCUCCCAAGAAGUCUCUUGCACUUCUACCUUGGCAUCUUUCCCAGAGGAACCAAACAAAGGAACCGAGACCCAUUGUUUAUAGAAAGAUUAGGGCCUCUCUGGAAGUUGUCCCGGGUGUUCGCCGCUGGAGCUCCAGGUCGAGAGGACGGGGUCCCGCUGCCGGGAGAAUCCUCCACUGCCGCCGGUGCCCGGAGCCCAGCCCUUUCCUAUUAAAAAAAAAAAAAAAAAAAAGAUUAAAUGACAAGAUAAGCAGAAACCACAAGCCCCUUGUAGAUUUCUCUUGAAUCCAUCCACUUUGCUCUAGGUCCACAGUCCGCACCUUAGUUCAAGCCACCAUCUCUGUCCGUUAGAUCCUGGUAGGACACAGAUAUCACACUCAAACAGGAUAAUUUGUUGAGGUUAACAAAGGAUAAUUUAGAAAAUUCUGGUCCUGAGAUAUGGAUUUAGGCUAAAGGAACACGGGCCACAGUCUGCCUGCAUCACCUGGGGUAGAGGAUAGGUACCCCCACCUCGCUCUCCUUCCUCCCUCCUAUCUCCUGUUGGUGCUCCUUUUUGGCCAAACCCAAAUGGAAACCAGAGAAGACAGGAGCCCAUUUAUGGAGGCCCAGGUCUGCUUCCUGGAGAAGGCAAUGGUGACCCACUCCAGUACUCUUGCCUGGAAAAUCCCAGGGAUGGAGGAGCCUGGUAGGCUGCAGUCCAUGGGGUCACUAAGAGUCGGACAUGACUGAACAACUUCACUUUCACUUUUCACUUUCAUGCACUGGAGAAGGAAAUGGCAGCCCACUCCAGUGUUCUUGCCUGGAGAAUCCCAGGGACGGGGGAGCCUGGUGGGCUGCCGUCUAUGGGGUCGCACAGAGUCAGACAUGACUGAAGCAACUUAGCAGCAGCAGCACCAGGUCUGCUUCCCAUGGGCACAGAUAGAGCAGGGCCAAAAGCAAAUCAGGAGAGGCAAAAAGAAGCUGCCUGGCACAACUGUGUCUCGCCCAAAGCUUUGCAAGAUCUUAUUUUAUCCCACUGCCCUCUUUUAACCUUUCUCCCAGUGACAUAUUAAAGAGUGCUGACUUUCCCAGCUACUUAACUCCAUCCAGUGGCUCCCCUCAAGGACUAACUUGUACAAGGUCAAGGAAUGUCUGCCUGACUCAAGGCACAGGGUGGCCCUUGAAGAUACUUGCUUUUUUAUGAGUAAAUAAAAUGCUAUGGGCAAGCCAUGUAUUUUGGAGUCCAGGAUGGUGCUGAUUUCAAACAUUUCUUCCUCUUUUCCCCAAACAUUGAAAAGUCCUGGAGUUUCAGUGUCUGUGUAUCCAAACUCUAUCUCCUAGGUACCACUAACUGAGACCUACGAUGGGGCAGGCACUCUGGAAAUGUCUUUCUGAAUAGGAUGACUACUCUGCACAAUGAUUGCCCCCAUCUGAGUUUUUCACGUUAGAAGAGGGACUCAGUGGUCAGGCCAUCUGGGGUCCCAGUCGAGAACAAGUCACUCCUUUUAUGUUUCCAUGUCAUCCUUCCCACAGGCACGCUUCCCCUAGAUGUACCUUCCUUGUGGGAUUAUCCCAAGGAUAUGCUGUUCUCUGCUUAGUCACUCAGUCAUGUCUGACUCCUUGUGACCCCAUGAACUGUAGCCCACCAGGCUCCUCUGUCCAUGGGGAUUCUCCAGGCAAGAAUACUGGAGUGGGUUGCCAUGCCCUCCUCCAGGGGAUCUUCCCAACCCAGGGAUCAAACCCAGGUCUCCCCAUUGCAGGCGGAUUCUUUACCAUCUGGGCCAUCAGGGAAGCCCAAGAAUGGAGUAGAUUAACUCAUGCAAAGAGUUUAGAACAGUGCCUGGACCCUAGUCCAUGUGCAGUCGCUGUUAGCUCUUAUUAACAUGUCAUCCUCUUCCAAGGUUUUGUAUGGAGUAUCAUUUCUGCCAAGUGGACCCUCCCCCACCACCUGGCACAUCAUAUUCAUGCGAUUUCAUAUAAUGAUCAAGACUUACGGCAUCCUGGACGCUGUCCAAGGCUUGCACCUCCUGACUGUAUUGAUUCCAGGGACUCUGAAGAAUAUGUCAAUAGUUUUGAAGAAUGAGAGCAUGGGUUCAACCCCCUUGGAUAAGGAUGCUGAGUGGACUUGAUCUGUCCUCACAUCAGGAAAGCCUACAUGUCCAUCCACUUCCCAGUACUCAUACUGGCUUUAACUCCAGCCCUACCUCCUCUGCCCCCUGGGGGCUCCCCUGCUCUCUGGGCACCUGCUCAGAAGGAUCACCCCACCCUCCUCCCAAUAUUUCUUCCUUCGCAUCCCUGAAGGUACACACUGCAGCCUCCUCAAGAGAGGUAUUUUAUUGUAAGUCACGGAGUGGAGAGAGCACAUCACAAGUAUUAAUACAUCCCUCCCCUCUCCUCCCUCCAGUUUUCUCCACAUCCCCCAUCCCUUCUCUUCGUCCUCUCCCCACUUUUCCUGCUCCCACUGUCUGCACAGGUUGAAUUACCCUCCUGGGCCUGUGGACUUGAGAUGCCCUCACUUCAACAGGAUCCCUUGAAUCAGACAUCUCUUAGGUACCACUUCCCAUCCUGUUGGCCUUCCCAUCCAUCCUCCAGCCCCAGCUGUGGUACCCAGUUCUACACAGGCUGAGAACAGCUUCCUGCACAUGUCCUCGGACAGCUCCCCAUCUUAGCCCGAACUGCACACCUUGGAUUCCUGUCCUUGGACUUUUCUGAUGCUGAGGGAUGGGACAGCUGCAGAGACCCACUGGGCACUCUCACUGGCACACCUGGCAAUACAAGGGGAGUUGGCUAAUGGUGGUGGAAGGUGAAGGCUUUCCCCUUUUGCCAUCCUCUGCCCAGGUCUGUGGUUCACUGUGGGAAGGGGACCUGCACAAGGCAUCCUCAGCGGGUUCUCAUUCCUUCCCUGAUUCACUCCCGUGAUUACUUCCCAUGUAAACUGCUUGCACACAAGUCACUUCUCAGUCUGUUUUGGGGAAAUACAAAUUAAGACACCAUUGUCUCCUGGCACAAUAUUCCUUCCCAUCUUCCAGUUUUUUCCAUGGAAUUCUUCAUGAGCUCCUUUCCACCUUUCCAAGUCUGACCCAUCCUUCAAGGGUCAUCUGAAAUUCCAGGCCCCUGAUGGUAUCAACCCACAAAGAUCUCUUCUCUUCCUGGGUAGCUGGAGCCCUUUCUAACCACUUAGAACAGUGGUAUGUUCUUAUUUUCUUCUCAACAUUAAUAAUGAAUAAUAAAAACUAAUAAUUGUUGAUGCAUACAAUUGCUGGCUUCAAUUCUAAACCCUAAAUAAAUUAUAAACACCCCGAGGCCAGGCCUGUGUCUAAGUCCCCAGAGAGCCUGGCAUAGAGGGUAGCCUGAACUG
ensembl:lncRNA